UGUUUUCAAUAGGUAUAAUAAAAUAAUUGUACAAAAAAGUGUUAACUUUUGGUUCUAAACUAGAUUCACAAUUUAGGUUAGCUACUCUGCUUUUGGCAUUUUUCAAAUCUGUGUCUGACGGCAUCAUUCACGAUCUCAGCAAAAUGGCGUUUUCUCUGUUUCGAGUCAUUUGCGACGUGUGGUGAUUAUUUUGUGUUGGUCACUCCAAAAGAGUUAUCAAUAUUUCUAAGUGAGUGAGUUGAAAUUUUGCAAAAUUAUGUAUAAUUUCGGGGCAAUUAGUGAAAGUAAAUCCUGGGGUACAGCACCUGAAACCGACCUCCUGGAAUAAUUGUACAUUGAUCAGAUUUAGGUUCUAUGGUGAGAAUCAACUCUCUGCGCGCGUGUGUGUGCCGUUUACCUUGGACAGCCAGCUGUUGGAUAUCUUUCUGUGGAUGCAUAUUCCUAACAGAUUUGUUCUUCAAACAAUUAUUAUGUACUGGAUAUAAUUCCAUUAUGCUACCCACCUGGAAAAAAGGUAGAGUGGGAUUUGUAAGAACGGAUUUUAAAUAUAGAUCAGUGCAUACGCUUGUAUGUAUAAUAGUAUAUUUACCAGUGCAGUAUACAGAUGUUGUUGUUUUUAAAAACAUAAAUAAAAGUGCACUACUUAUACCUGAAACGAAUGGGAUAUGAUAAGAGAGCUCAAUGGCUCAGGUGCAUGUGUCGAUACUUGCACGUUAGAGAUUCGUGGUUCGAAUCUCAAUGAAGUAAAGGAUGUUUUCUUAAAUAUCAAAAUAAAUCCGAGUUAUGUGGGUUGCAUAUGCAAUUCAAGUUGAAAAUCGGAUUGAAUUCCGAAUGGCAGCGAAGAACGGGGAGACGGGACAAUACAGAGAAGAAGAAAUGAAAGAAAUACGAGUAUGAGAUAGAAAGUAGAAGUUAGAAGUAGUAGGAGAGCAGAGUAGUAGAAUAAGAAAGCCGCCAGAAGAGAAGAGAGCAUAGGAGUGGGUCGAACUUUUAAAAUUUUUUGGGACGUGUCGUUAUAAGACAGCCUCACUGCUUCGAUUCUUCUAUUGCUCCCGGCCCAUCCUACAGCUACGAUGUCUCUGCGCUUCAUCCCCAGGAUUCUCAGGCAUAUCAACAAUUUUUAUGGUGGGGGAUCAUCCCCAGAGAGAGGGAACUCCUUAUAAGGACAUCCUUGUAAGGACUUGUAAAAAUAUUUCUAAUUUUUAAGACGCAUCAAGAGAGGGGACACUUAAAAAUAUUAUUAUAAGUUCUGCUCUGUACCUGAAAUGAAAGAAGGAGUACAUAAAUCAUACAGGUUACCUUAACAAUUUUUAUAGUGGCUAUCAUCCCCUGAGAGAGGGAACUGUUCCUGUAAUCAUAGAAGGGGCAUACACAAAUCAAAGAAGUCAAUAUAUCUUACUGUUUCUUUAUUAACAAUAGAAUACAAGUUUAUAUUUUACAAGUCAACCAAAUACGUGCCGCCAUGUUGAAACAGGACUUACGACCUGCAUAGCCACGCACAUGUAAGCAAGUACCACGUAAUAAUGUUCUACCGGGAUAAACAAAUUAACAAAUAGUUCAUUUUCUACGUUAUUGAAAAUGAAAACAAAUAUACAGGGUGUUACCAAAGGAAAAUUUAAAGUGCAAAUAAUAAACACUAUAAAUCUUGAUCGUUUGCACUAGACAAUCAAGGAAACUAAUAUACAGGGUGUUACAAAAAGAAAACAACGUCAUUUUAGAAUAUACGUCAACGACAAAGUUUCAAACACUACAAAUAUGGCUAUUUUUUCGUGACAUAACGGAAAAUUAAUAUACAGGGUGUUGUCAAAAGAAAAUCUUCGAUUUAUAAAGAAAAUCACCACAAAACAAUAAAGAUUGCUCAUUUUUCGCUGAGCAUAAAGGAAAAUUUAUUUACAGGGUGAUGCAAAAAAAAAGGAAACAAAAAUUCAACUUCUAUUACCUGUUUCCACCUGGAUAUCCAGGAGAGGUGAUAG